CUGCCGCCGCCGCCGCCGCCCCAGGCGGAGGGCACCGAGGUUCCCACGCUCCGGCCGGGGACCGGGGGCGUUCUCAGGCCGGCGUGGCCGCGCUCUCCACCGCCGCCGAGGCCGGGCUGUAAUUAGGGUAAUUGCGCGGCUCCGCGCCUGGGGCAGUGCAGGACCCUAGCUGCGCUGCACUGGGAUGGGCAGGGACUAGGGGUGAGAAGAGCGGGUUGGAAAUGUCGCAGCCUUGUCCUCCAGACAGAUCGGAGGCUGGAGAGAUGGCUAAACACUUAAGAACAUCGCUAGCACCCAUGAUGGGAGGUUCACAACUACGAGUCACCCCAGUUCCAGGAGAACCUGACACCUUCUUGGUACCUGCUCACAUGUGUACAUCCAUGAAGACAUGUGUAUGCACAGACAUACUCAUAAAUUUAAAAUUCUAAAAAUUUA